rnacentral:rRNA from 1 species
UACGUAGGGUCCAAGCGUUAUCCGGAAUCACUGGGCGUAAAGCGUGCGUAGGUGGAUUGUUAAGUGCGAUGCGAAAUCCUGUGGCUCAACCAUAUGGACUGUAUCGCAUACUGGCAAUCUAGAGGAUAUGAGAGGCAAGUGGAAUUACCGGUGUAGCAGUGAAAUGCGUAGAUAUCGGUAGGACCACCAAUGGCGAAGGCAGCUUGCUGGCAUAUUUCUGACGCUAAGGCACGAAAGCGUGGGGAGCGAACAGG